rnacentral:tRNA from 1 species
GAGAGUAUAGCUCAGUAGUAGAGCGCAUGCCUGGCAUGCGUGAGGUCCUGGAUUCAAUCCUUAGUACCUCCA